CCGGUCCCUUCUUGGUAGGAGCUUUUAAGGCGCCUCAGAGUUACUGCUUGUUACGAAAAAAAAAAAAGAAAAAAGAAAAGAAAAGACAAUAAAAUUCAGCAAAACAAGGUGGUUCAACAUGAAGGUGGGACAUUCACUCUUCACAUAUCAGUGCCUUUUCUACAUAACAGAAAUAUUGUCCUUAUUUUCUGGAGAUUAUAUACUCAUAGAAACAUAGCUAUGGAUAUUAUAUUCUUUUUAUUUUGAUCCACUUGAGUUUGUAUUCUAUUUGUUGGUUGCUUGGAUCCCCUAUCUAUAAGCACUCUUGCUUCUUUGGGGUUCCCUUUCAUGUAUAUCUGUUGUAAAAUGCUCAUGUAUAUAUAUUUUUCUUUCUCUGUGCAUGAAUAAAAAAAAAUAUCUGAAUCUUACACACUGAACUCACAGUUACAGCUAGUUAGCUUAGCAUAGCUUAGUUUAACACUGAGAGAACACAAAUCCACUACUCACUGGGGUCAUCAUUUUAUCUUAACAUAUCAUACAUGCAUGAAAUGUAUUGUAAAUUUGCUGUUAUACAUUUUUUUCUUUUUUCUUCAAGAAAAGCAAUAAAAAUGUGAUAAAAAAAAAAGCUAUCAUCAUUGUAACAAAAGCUACCACUGGCUGUUUGUUUAUCUAUCUAUCUAUCUAUCUAUCUAUCUAUCUAUCUAGCUGUCUAGCUGUCUAGCUAUAUCUCUGUCUGUCCGUCCGUCCAGACAAACAGUAAGCAAGAAAAAAGGGGAAGGUGAUGAACAUUCUUUAGUUUUGUGUAUGAGAAACUCAACACUACACUACAGUUGAUCUAAAUACAAAGCACUUAUUGGGUCUUUUCAGUGGUGUCACUGGUGUGGGAGGCAUUUUUCACCUCUGUCUGUGGUUUUCCUGAGUGAAUCAGACAGUGACAAGUGAUCUGUAGUUUGUGUAGUCAGAAAAACCAGUUUAGCCUUUAAAGGACUUCAGGACAUUUACAUUUUUAUGCUUUUAUCAUGGCUGGACAUCUGCUGAUACUCAUCCUCACAUAUUUAGCUUUUGAAGUAAAAGGACAAAUUCUUCGUGCACCUAAACUGUUGGUUGAUCCUCCAGUGAUCACAGAGAAAGCCACAGUUACAUUAAACUGUCAGACUCCAUCACCUGUAUCUCAGUGUUUCUACAUUAUUGGAGGAAAACCUGCUAAACAGUUUUCAUGUCUGAAGAAACUGACAGGAACUGAGCUGUUGUCAAUUGUGAAACAAAGUCCACCAACUGAGAUUAAAGUAAAAUGUUUUUACCUUCAAACAUCUGCAUCGCCACACAGUGACUCAUUCUCCAUCACCAUUCAACCUCUUUUUCCACCUACACUGAUCAUCGAUCCUCCAGUGAUCACAGAGACAGACUCAGUUACAUUAAACUGUCAGACUCCUUCAUCUGUGUCUGUAUCCAGGUGUUAUUUCUACACAUUAAGUGGAAGAAUUUUAGGAGACUCAUCAUGUGUACAGACACUGAAAGGGGCUGAACUGAUGGUGAAUAAACAUCUUCCUGCUGAAGUUAAACUAAAAUGUUAUUACAGUGUAAACCACGGGGAGGCUGAUUCUCCAUCUCCACACAGUGCCUUUACAUCUGUCACUGUACAAAGUCAAAAACCACAUAAAAGUGUUCUUCGUGGUGAAAGUGUUGUCAUUGUGUGUUCACUACCUGGAUCUGUGAAGGAUGACACACGAUGUAACCUGUACUUUGGAGAAUCAACUCGUCCCCAAAUAACAGCAACUACCUGGGGAAGAAAGACCUCAAACAAACAGAGGAUCUGCCAGUUUUUUAUCCCAGUGAAUGAGUUGUUGAGAUUCCUUGAUGUAGUCCAGAAGAAAGAUGUGAGCUGUGAUUACAGUUUGUCAGACAGCUCUGUGUCUCCUCGUAGUGAUGGAUUCAGUUUGACUGAUAUUGUCAACACAGAGUCCAACAAGAAACCAGGUCUCACAAUGACACCAGAACUAGUGACUGAUUUUACAAAUGUACCGACCUCUGAUGCUUCUCCUCUAAACCCAACAUCAGAACACAACACUGCAGAAAUUAUGACUGAUCCUACCAUCAGUCUGACCUCUGCUGCUCUACAUCCAACAUCAGAACACAAACCUACAGAUCAGACACCUCUGUGUACUUCUAAAGUGAGUGUUUUGAAUGUGACCCAACAAAAGCAAGACUCAAGUAAUAAAGAAACAGUAACAUGGAUAUUGAAGUGGGUAAUAUUAGUGGCUGCCUGUGGAGUCAUUCUGGGAGUCAUCUCUCUGGGACUGGCAUUUUGUUGCAAUAAAGGAAAAAAUGACAAGCACAUUCACAAGAGGCCACAAGCAAAAGGGAACGGCGACUUAAUGCUCACAACACAACUUCACUGUGGAGAAAUGGGAAAGGAUCCUCCUGCUAACAACACAGCCUACAGUCAGAUCACCUGUGUACCUGGUUCUGAAAUGUUGAAUGAGCAAAAGCCUCAAAAUACAGAUCCUGAUAUAUACCAUGUUUAUGCCACUAUCCCUGAGGAUCAAACCUCACCUGCUCAUGGACUGGUUCUUUGUGCACCUAAACCGUUGGUUGAUCCUCCAGUGAUCACAGAGAAAGCCACAGUUACUGUCAUCUGAGUGUUUCUACAUUAUUGGAGGAAAUCCUGCCAGACAGUUUUCCUGUGUGAAGAAACUGACAGAAACUGAACUGUUGUCAAUUGUGGAACAAAGUCCACCAGCUGAGAUUAAUGUAAAAUGUUUUUACCUUUACACAUCUGCAUCAUCAUACAGUGGCACGUUCUCCAUCACCAUUCAACCUCUUUUUCCACCUACACUGAUCAUUGAUCCUCCAGUGAUCACAGAGACAGACUCAGUUACAUUAAACUGUCAGACUCCUUCAUCUGUGUCUGUAUCCUGGUGUUAUUUCUACACAUUAAGUGGAAGAAAUUUAGGAGACUCAUCAUGUGUACAGACACUGACAGGGACUGAUCUGAUGGUGGAUCAACGUCCUCCUGCUGAAGUUAAACUAAAAUGUAGUUACAUAGUAAACCAAGGAGAGACUGAUUCUCCAUCUCCACACAGUGCCUUUACAUCUGUCACUGUACAAAGUCAAAAACCACAUAUAAGUGUUAAUCGUGGUGAAUGUUUUGUCAUUGUGUGUUCACUACCUUAACCUGUGAAGGAUUACACACGAUGUAACCUGUACUUUGGAGAAUCAACUUGUCCCCAAAUAACAGCAACCGCCUGGGGAAAAAAGACCUCAAACAAACAGAGGAUUUGCCAGUUUUCCGUCCCAGUGAAUGAAUUGUUGAGAUACCUUGAUGUAGUCCAGAAGAAAGAUGUGAGCUGUGAUUACAGUUUGUCAGACAGCUCUGUGUCUCCUCGUAGUGAUGGAUACAGUUUGACUGAUAUUGUCAACACAGAGUCCAACAAGAAACCAGUUCUCACAAUGACACCAGAACUAGUGACUGAUUUUACAAACAUACUGACCUCUGAUGCGUCUCCUCUAAACCCGACAUCAGAAUACAACACUGCAGAAAUAAUGACUGAUCCCACCAUCAGUCUGACCUCUGCUGCUCCUCCAUAUCCAACAUCAGAACACAAAUCUACAGAAUAACAAAUACAACCAGAAUCACACCAAAGGAGGGAGCUCAUCAGUCCAGACCCACCGUGUGC